GCGCCCGUAGCUCAGUUGGAUAGAGCGUCUGACUACGAAUCAGAAGGCCGCAGGUUCGAGCCCUGCCGGGCGCA
rnacentral:tRNA from 2 species